AGUAGGGAAUCUUCCGCAAUGGGCGAAAGCCUGACGGAGCAACGCCGCGUGAGUGAUGAAGGUUUUCGGAUCGUAAAGCUCUGUUGCCAGGGAAGAACGCUUGAGAGAGUAACUGCUCUUGAGGUGACGGUACCUGAGAAGAAAGCCCCGGCUAACUACGUGCCAGCAGCCGCGGUAAUACGUAGGGGGCAAGCGUUGUCCGG
rnacentral:rRNA from 1 species